CCUGGCUCAGAUUGAACGCUGGCGGCAGGCCUAACACAUGCAAGUCGAGCGGUAGCACAGAGAGCUUGCUCUCGGGUGACGAGCGGCGGACGGGUGAGUAAUGUCUGGGAAACUGCCUGAUGGAGGGGGAUAACUACUGGAAACGGUAGCUAAUACCGCAUAACGUCGCAAGACCAAAGUGGGGGACCUUCGGGCCUCAUGCCAUCAGAUGUGCCCAGAUGGGAUUAGCUAGUAGGUGGGGUAACGGCUCACCUAGGCGACGAUCCCUAGCUGGUCUGAGAGGAUGACCAGCCACACUGGAACUGAGACACGGUCCAGACUCCUACGGGAGGCAGCAGUGGGGAAUAUUGCACAAUGGGCGCAAGCCUGAUGCAGCCAUGCCGCGUGUGUGAAGAAGGCCUUCGGGUUGUAAAGCACUUUCAGCGGGGAGGAAGGCGGUGAGGUUAAUAACCUCAUCGAUUGACGUUACCCGCAGAAGAAGCACCGGCUAACUCCGUGCCAGCAGCCGCGGUAAUACGGAGGGUGCAAGCGUUAAUCGGAAUUACUGGGCGUAAAGCGCACGCAGGCGGUCUGUCAAGUCGGAUGUGAAAUCCCCGGGCUCAACCUGGGAACUGCAUUCGAAACUGGCAGGCUAGAGUCUUGUAGAGGGGGGUAGAAUUCCAGGUGUAGCGGUGAAAUGCGUAGAGAUCUGGAGGAAUACCGGUGGCGAAGGCGGCCCCCUGGACAAAGACUGACGCUCAGGUGCGAAAGCGUGGGGAGCAAACAGGAUUAGAUACCCUGGUAGUCCACGCUGUAAACGAUGUCGAUUUGGAGGUUGUGCCCUUGAGGCGUGGCUUCCGGAGCUAACGCGUUAAAUCGACCGCCUGGGGAGUACGGCCGCAAGGUUAAAACUCAAAUGAAUUGACGGGGGCCCGCACAAGCGGUGGAGCAUGUGGUUUAAUUCGAUGCAACGCGAAGAACCUUACCUGGUCUUGACAUCCACAGAACUUUCCAGAGAUGGAUUGGUGCCUUCGGGAACUGUGAGACAGGUGCUGCAUGGCUGUCGUCAGCUCGUGUUGUGAAAUGUUGGGUUAAGUCCCGCAACGAGCGCAACCCUUAUCCUUUGUUGCCAGCGGUUAGGCCGGGAACUCAAAGGAGACUGCCAGUGAUAAACUGGAGGAAGGUGGGGAUGACGUCAAGUCAUCAUGGCCCUUACGACCAGGGCUACACACGUGCUACAAUGGCAUAUACAAAGAGAAGCGACCUCGCGAGAGCAAGCGGACCUCAUAAAGUAUGUCGUAGUCCGGAUUGGAGUCUGCAACUCGACUCCAUGAAGUCGGAAUCGCUAGUAAUCGUAGAUCAGAAUGCUACGGUGAAUACGUUCCCGGGCCUUGUACACACCGCCCGUCACACCAUGGGAGUGGGUUGCAAAAGAAGUAGGUAGCUUAACCUUCGGGAGGGCGCU
rnacentral:rRNA from 1 species